GUUUGUUCUCUAGCUCGGUUUUGUGAGCGAGAGCAUAGUUAUUCAAAUAUUCUACUACUUGCAUAUGCCCGAAAGUUUCCGCUUCGUCGACUGGUCGUUUGCCCCAUCUAAAAAUAUGAUUGCACAAAAUUGUGAAAACAACCGUUGUGGCAGACACUUGAUCUUGAAGCACGUCGCAUGACGCUUACCUGUCCUUGGGAUUAUGUAGGACUCCGCACUGCUCGAUCAGAAACUCGACGCAAUCCAGAUGACCUUCGCUGGCGGCCAAGUGCAACGCGGUUCUGCCGUCGUAGUCCGACAAAGUCAUGUCCAUCCCGCUUAGUCGAUGUCUGAAAUUACGAGGAUUCGAUGUUCCUUAAAAGAAUAUGUCACCUUCUCAUCGCUGUGACAUCACCACUGGCAGCGCUGAACAGAAGAUUAACGAUCGAAAGGCCUUUCGUCUCAUACUUGUGCCGUCUAGGAUCCUUUUUGUUCGUCGCAUGCUUCAAGUUAUCAUAUCUAUGAUCACAUAAUAAACAAAUAGAUAAUAAUUGAUAUGAGAAAGAUCGAUGACGAAGAAUAGCCAGAGUUCAAAUUUUGAUCAUGCAUCGUCUACGAUUCAUGAUGCAGACUAAAUAAAACUGACAAUGAGACAAAUAUUCAAGGGAUAUCCCAUAAUUAAUCAAAAUAUCAAGAACACAUUCUUAAAAA